rnacentral:rRNA from 1 species
CCUACGGGAGGCAGCAGUGGGGAAUAUUGGACAAUGGGGGGAACCCUGAUCCAGCCAUGCCGCGUGUGUGAAGAAGGCCCUCGGGUUGUAAAGCACUUUCAGUGAGGAAGAACGCCUGGUGGUUAAUACCCAUCAGGAAAGACAUCACUCACAGAAGAAGCACCGGCUAACUCCGUGCCAGCAGCCGCGGUAAUACGGAGGGUGCGAGCGUUAAUCGGAAUUACUGGGCGUAAAGCGCGCGUAGGUGGCUUGAUAAGCCGGUUGUGAAAGCCCCGGGCUCAACCUGGGAACGGCAUCCGGAACUGUCCAGCUUGAGUGCAGGAGAGGAAGGUAGAAUUCCCGGUGUAGCGGUGAAAUGCGUAGAGAUCGGGAGGAAUACCAGUGGCGAAGGCGGCCUUCUGGACUGACACUGACACUGAGGUGCGAAAGCGUGGGUAGCGAACAGGAUUAGAUACCCGUGUAGUC